rnacentral:rRNA from 1 species
UACGUAGGGUGCGAGCGUUGUCCGGAAUUAUUGGGCGUAAAGGGCUCGUAGGCGGUUUGUCGCGUCGGGAGUGAAAACCUUGGGCUUAACUCAGGGCUUGCUUUCGAUACGGGCAGACUAGAGGUAUGCAGGGGAGAACGGAAUUCCUGGUGUAGCGGUGAAAUGCGUAGAUAUCUGGAGGAACACCGGUGGCGAAGGCGGCAUCCUGGACCAAUUCUGACGCUGAGGAGCGAAAGCCAGGGGAGCAAACGGG